GACGAACGCUGGCGGCGUGCUUAACACAUGCAAGUCGAACGGAAAGGCCCUGCUUUUGUGGGGUGCUCGAGUGGCGAACGGGUGAGUAACACGUGAGUAACCUGCCCUUGACUUUGGGAUAACUUCAGGAAACUGGGGCUAAUACCGGAUAGGAGCUCCUGCUGCAUGGUGGGGGUUGGAAAGUUUCGGCGGUUGGGGAUGGACUCGCGGCUUAUCAGCUUGUUGGUGGGGUAGUGGCUUACCAAGGCUUUGACGGGUAGCCGGCCUGAGAGGGUGACCGGCCACAUGGGGACUGGGAUACGGCCCAGAUUCCUACGGGAGGCAGCAGUGGGAAUAUUGCACAAUGGGCGGAAGCCUGAUGCAGCAACGCCGCGUGCGGGAUGACGGCCUUCGGGUUGUAAACCGCUUUCGCCUGUGACGAAGCGUGAGUGACGGUAAUGGGUAAAGAAGCACCGGCUAACUACGUG
rnacentral:rRNA from 1 species